rnacentral:rRNA from 1 species
UACGGAGGGUGCAAGCGUUGCUCGGAAUUAUUGGGCGUAAAGGGCAGGUAGGUGGUCCCAAAAGUCUGCUGUGAAAUCCCCGGGCUUAACCCGGGAAGUGCGGCAGAUACUCUGGGACUAGAGUACUGGAGGGGUUCGUGGAAUUCCCGGUGUAGCGGUGAAAUGCGUAGAUAUCAUUUGGAACGCCAAUGGUGAAAACAGGUAACUGGGAGUGUGCUGACGCUGAGACACGAAAGCCAGGGGAGCGAACGGG